GGGGACUACCGGGGUUUCUAAUCCCGUUUGCUCCCCUGGCCUUCGUGCCUCAGUGUCAGGAACUGUCCAGAGACCCGCCUUCGCCACUGGUCUUCCUUACGAUCUCUACGCAUUUCACCGCUACACCGUAAAUUCCAGUCUCCUCUCCAGUCCUCAAGCACCGCAGUAUCGAAUGCAGUUUCGGAGUUAAGCUCCGAGAUUUCACACCCGACUUACGACGCCACCUACGCACCCUUUACGCCCAAUGAAUCCGAACAACGCUUGAGACCUCUGUAUUACCGCGGCGGCUGGCACA
rnacentral:misc_RNA from 1 species